rnacentral:misc_RNA from 1 species
GAGAAAGGAAGCGCCUAAUUGUAAAUGUUUUUUCAUGAUACUUUACAGGCUUCUUAGAAAUUCUAAAGAAAGAAAAGACACGAGAAGAAAGGAGAGAUGAGACGGGAACAAGAAGGAAUAGACAUAGUGAAUCUUAAGGGAAAUGACCUAAAAUUUAACAAAAGCAAAUGUCAUGGAUUACAUAGUCUAUUUUUUUAAAAGACAUGACCAAAUUAUAAAUAAUAUCAAAAUCAAAGUACCUCAUAAUGAUUGACCCUAUAUGAUAUCUUCCAUGUACAAGACCAUGUCAUGGUUUACUUGCUAUUAACUCACCCCAAAAACCGUAAAAACAGAGAGUUUAACUAUACUUGACUCAAAAUAAGCCGAGGAUUAGUAGCAGGACAUCUCGGCCCCCUGCGCCGUCUUGUUAUUUUUCCCCAGCCUAUUAGGCUGCUCUCCUCGAUGCUGUACUUGCCAUUUGUGGUUUGCUGCUUCAGCAGUGAACACAAUGAGGUUUCUGCCUGGGAAGGAGAUAUUGAAGACCGUCUCCUCCUCCCACUCAUCCAAACAUUUCUACCUGUUCUUCUGGCACCAGUAUUUUGAUGAGCAGCCUCAAUCAGCCCUCCUAUUGCAUGAAGAUCCUCAGUUACUUCAUACCUUGACAGAGAGGCAAGACUUGGGAGAAUUUC